rnacentral:tRNA from 1 species
AUGGCUAUAGGUUAACGGUAGACUAUUCGCGUAUGUGAAAUGAGUUGAUUCAACUUCAACUAGCCAUA